rnacentral:miRNA from 1 species
AGUACCUGGCUCCUAGAAGGUAUUCAGUAAGUGUUACUGAAUAUAGGAAUAAAAAUCUAGUUGUAGGACUGAAAAUCUCUGAGAGGUGC